AGGCUGUGGAUCCGGUCGUGGGAAGCAGAGUGAACUUCUGGGAUCUGAGCUGACUCCGCUGGACUCCAGUGAUGUUUCUGGAACCUGCUCUGACUGCUGUGAAGUCAGAUAACAGCCUGGGCCGGGGGAGGACUGGAGCCUCAGGAAGAGGUUGAGAGUAGGUGGGAGAGAGAAGGGACAGAAGGAGGAGCCAUCGCAGACCCCUCCCAGUCCCCUCCCCACCCAAGCCAGCAUCGUCUGUGGGAUCACGGAGAAGGCAGUUUAUCCUAACUCCAAGGCUCAUUUGUAUCCAGCCUCUGGAUUUUCUAAUUAUCUUCGCCUCCUAUGGAUUUCUCCCGCAGGGGAGACCGACGGUAGGAGGCUGGAUCCCAGCUGGAACACAGACACAGAACUGAGCCACCUUUGACCACAUAGAUGAAGACAGAUACCUUAGGAGAUGACAGAAACAUAAAAUGGAAAACCCCUGGGUCGCCACAUGACUACACGGAGGAGAUCUGCCCCACCAGCCUGGACCAUUCAUUUCCAGACUGGAAACUUAAAAGCAUUGCCAUUAAGUUCAAGAACUAGACAAAGCUGCCUGUUGUUGCUGCUUCUACCCAACUACUAGAGGUCCUAGCCUACGCAAGAAAAGAAAGAAGAGAAAGAAGAUAUGUCAAGAAUUCCUGCUGCCCCAAGAAACCAGCCGGAGAAUUAUGAUGCUGUCCGAAUAACCAGAAACCAGGCGGAGAGCUUGGUCACAGGCUCUUAUCCCAGGGUAGGUGUCCUGGGCUGGAGACCCACACCCCACACUC